rnacentral:rRNA from 1 species
AACGAACGCUGGCGGCAUGCCUAACACAUGCAAGUCGAACGAGACCUUCGGGUCUAGUGGCGCACGGGUGCGUAACGCGUGGGAACCUGCCCUUAGGUUCGGAAUAACUCCCCGAAAGGGGUGCUAAUACCGGAUAAUGUCUUCGGACCAAAGAUUUAUCGCCUUUGGAUGGGCCCGCGUUGGAUUAGCUAGUUGGUAGGGUAAAAGCCUACCAAGGCGACGAUCCAUAGCUGGUCUGAGAGGAUGAUCAGCCACACUGGGACUGAGACACGGCCCAGACUCCUACGGGAAGCAGCAGUGGGGAAUAUUGGACAAUGGGCGAAAGCCUGAUCCAGCAAUGCCGGGGGAGUGAGGAAGGCCUUAGGGUUGUAAAGCUCUUUUACCCGGGAUGAUAAUGACAGUACUGGGAGAAUAAGCUCCGGCUAACUCCGUG